GACAGAGGGUGCAAACAUUGCUCGGAAUCACUGGGCGUAAAGGGCGUGUAGGCGGGAAGGAAAGUCAGAUGUGAAAUCCCUGGGCUCAACCCAGGAACUGCAUUUGAAACUCCCUUUCUUGAGUGUCGGAGAGGAAAGUGGAAUUCCUGGUGUAGAGGUGAAAUUCGUAGAUAUCAGGAGGAACACCGGUGGCGAAGGCGGCUCACUGGUCCGGUACUGACGCUGAGGUGCGAAAGCGUGGGGAGCAAACAGG
rnacentral:rRNA from 1 species